rnacentral:rRNA from 1 species
AGAGUUUGAUCCUGGCUCAGAUUGAACGCUGGCGGCAUGCCUUACACAUGCAAGUCGAACGGUAACGGGCCUUCGGGUGCCGACGAGUGGCGAACGGGUGAGUAAUGUAUCGGAACGUACCUUUCAGUGGGGGAUAACGUAGCGAAAGUUACGCUAAUACCGCAUAUUCUGUGAGCAGGAAAGCAGGGGAUCGCAAGACCUUGCGCUGAUUGAGCGGCCGAUAUCAGAUUAGCUAGUUGGUGAGGUAAAGGCUCACCAAGGCGACGAUCUGUAGCGGGUCUGAGAGGAUGAUCCGCCACACUGGAACUGAGACACGGUCCAGACUCCUGCGGGAGGCAGCAGUGGGAAUUUUGGACAAUGGGGGCAACCCUGAUCCAGCCAUGCCGCGUGAGUGAAGAAGGCCUUCGGGUUGUAAAGCUCUUUCGGCCGGGAAGAAAUCGUAUGGGUUAAUACCCUGUGCGGAUGACGGUACCGGCAUAAGAAGCACCGGCUAACUACGUG